UAUCCGACCUCUAUAGGUAUCCACACGAGGAUCUAAUCAUCUGAGAAUGGGUCUAAUCGGAGUGCUAGCUCCUUACAAAGACUUCUCAUGACUAUCAUAAGUUGGAAUAAGAAUUUGCAACUUCCUCCUUUAUGAAGAACCUUUCUUCUUCAACCUUGCUCGCGAUGGAGGAAGAGGAAGGAGGAACCUCGCACGUGGAUCUUCCUUGCCU
rnacentral:lncRNA from 1 species